rnacentral:sRNA from 1 species
AUAAUAAGAAUAAGGGCGACCGUAAGGUCGCCCAUUUUGUUUCUUCAUCCAGCACUUUUGGUUUGGCCGCCGAUCAGCUGGUUUGUAAGAGCAGUUCUGGCGUUACGCAUAGCUGGCUGUUAGCUCUGAUUCCUUACUAUCCAACGACUAACAGUUUUUUGUAACCAAAACCCGGGCUUCCGCUUGGGUUUUUUUAU